rnacentral:rRNA from 1 species
AUUGAACGCUGGCGGCAUGCCUUACACAUGCAAGUCGAACGUUAACGGGCUUUCGGGUGCCGACGAGUGGCGAACGGGUGAGUAAUGUAUCGGAACGUACCUUUCAGUGGGGGAUAACGUAGCGAAAGUUACGCUAAUACCGCAUAUUCUGUGAGCAGGAAAGCAGGGGAUCGCAAGACCUUGCGCUGAUUGAGCGGCCGAUGUCAGAUUAGCUAGUUGGUGAGGCAAAGGCUUACCAAGGAGACGAUCUGUAGCGGGUCUGAGAGGAUGAUCGGCCACACUGGAACUGGGACACGGACCCGACUCCUACGGGAGGCAGCAGUGGGGAAUGUUGGACAAUGGGGGCAACCCUGAUCCAGCCAUGCCGCGUGAGUGAAGAAGGCCUUCGGGUUGUAAAGCUCUUUCGGCCGGGAAGAAAUCGCACGGGCUAAUACCCUGUGUGGAUGACGGUACCGGAAGAAGAAGCACCGGCUAACUACGUGCCAGCAGCCGCAGUAAUAC